rnacentral:rRNA from 1 species
CCUACGGGUGGCUGCAGUGGGGAAUAUUGCACAAUGGGGGAAACCCUGAUGCAGCGACGCCGCGUGAAGGAAGAAGUAUUUCGGUAUUUAAACUUCUAUCAGCAGGGAAGAAAAUGACGGUACCUGACUAAGAAUCCCCGGCUAACUACGUGACAGCAGCCGCGGUAAUACGGAGGGGGCAAGCGUUAUCCGGAGUUACUGGGUGUAAAGGGAGCGUAGGCGGUUUAGCAAGUCAGAAGUGGAAGGCCGGGGGUCAACCCCGGGACUGCUUUUGAAACUGUUUAACGUGAUUGCAGGAGAGGUAAGUGGAAUUCGUGGUGUAGCGGUGAAAUGCGUAGAUAUUAGGAGGAACACCAGUGGCGAAGGCGGCUUACUGGACUGUAAAUGACGCUGAGGCUCGAAAGCGUGGGGAGCAAACAGGAUUAGAUACCCCAGUAGUC